GCAGGCCUAACGGGUUACCUGCUCACUCGUAAUGAGAAGGUCGCGAGUUCGAUUCUCGCAGGCGGCUCCA
rnacentral:tRNA from 1 species